AAAUAUAUUUUAAAAUUGUUCAAAUGAUAAGUUCUUAAGGAUCUUGUGUUAAGUUGCAAGAGAAGGGUUUGGAGUUGGGGCUUUCAGAAAUACAUGCCUCCACAAAGAAAUAAAGAACAAAGAACACACACAUGAGAACAGAUGGCUUAUCAUAACAUGGAAAGGGUGAUCUGGAUAGGCAUAUCUAUUCUUUAUUGCUUUGGAGCAACAAUCAUGUUGUGAGAAGGUGUAGUUGGUUUAGGUUGGUGUUUAUAAUAGAGAUUGUUAAUGGGAUCUUUCUCCAUGACAUGGGCACCAUCCUUCUUCCUUUGUGACACAUCUCAGAGUUUGGCUGUGUCAUCUAAGGCGAUUUAUGAUUGUCUAUGUUGGAUUGUAGGCACCAAGGGUAGAUACUAGUCUGUGAGAUGGUUUGUGCUGUUUAGAUGUGUUUAUGUUGGGAUAAAAGAUAAGGCAUAGAUGAUGGUUGUGUGACCUUUGCAAAAGGAUUUCUUAUGUGUAUAAAAAACUAAGAAAGUAACUCUGUUUUAAUCUAAGCCAAACGAUUGGGGUCUGCAUAUAGUAAUCUUCUAUUUGCUGUGUGGAAUGCUAUUCGUGGGGGGGUCGUAAAGAGACCUUACAUUCCUUUCCUCCACUGAUAGUAGGAGGUUGUAAUUCAGAAUGAAACUAGACCCGAGCUUGGAAGGAGGAAUUAUAAUUUAUCAAGUGUGACAAGUAUAUGGCCUUUGUGAGCUUGGAGGUGGGAAUUGUGUGAUUAGAACUUUGUCUUUACCACUUUGUAAGAAUGGGGUAAAACUCAUCUUUAAUCUUUGUAAUCCAUAAGUAACUGUAUUUUAACUAAGUGAUUUUAAGGAAAUUAAUUGUGAAGUGUAUUGUGUUUAAUUACGAUUGUAAGUAUUAGACUUUGUUUAAAUCAGAAGUUUUAGAAAUAACUUUAUUUUCCAAAAGUGAAAAUAUGUUUUGUAUGUAUGUGUUGUGUGAUUGCUAUAUUAUGUGUAUAUUCUGAAAAGUAUUCUGUGAGAAUUAGUUUUAUAUCUGUGGUUUUACUUUAAUGAAAUAAAAUGAUUUUGAGCAAAGAGGUUGAAGAAACCACAGAGGGGAUGAAGGUUGUAAAGGGGCUGGAAAAGGGAAAAUCAUGUGACUAUACGUGUUGUCAAUCAAUGGAAAGGAUUUAGUUGAUUGGUUAAUGCAAAUAAGUUAAAUGUAUGGUAAACCAUAAUGAUUGGUUAAUAGUUUGCCACUCCUUUUGUACUAUCCUUGUCUUUUACCUAUAUAAUGUGUUACAUUUAUGCCAAAGUUGUAGUUCUUUCAACCUGCCCCAGAGUUUCUAACUCUGUGUUGGAAGGUUUAAAGAAUUAUCCAGCGCUGUCAGAAUAAAGAAUCGAUUCCAGCAACAAGGGUUUGAAUCAAGUUUUCUUGAAUUAGACUGGCAAAAAGAACUCAUUUUAACAUUUGGUGUCAGAAGUGGGAUUCAGACGGUUCACCGACAACACGAGGAACGAAAAUAAGCGUUAAACUGCGCACUGAUUGGACCAGAGGAAUUGGCCAAGCAGAAGUGAGUAGUUAAACACCACUCUGUUUUCCUCUUCUCCGUAUAUCGCUGCGUAGUCGACCCUUCGUUCUUGUGUUGAACGGGAUCCAGACAGAAUCAGGUCAGUCUAACAAACCUUGUUGAUUGGUAAGAUUGGUCAUUAGGAAUGAUCAAAGGUGAACAGACUCGUCCAUUAGGAAUGGGGAGUCUUAGUCAUUGGGAAUGCUCCAUUAGGAAUGGAGAAACUUGGUCAUUAGGAAUGAUCAAAGGUAAAUGCCGGCUGAACUGGAUAAAUUUAUCCUGACCAUUUGGAAUGGCAGGAGAUAGUGAUUUGGAAACAGGGUCAGCUAAACACUGACAGUGCUAAAUUUAUCCUGACCAUUUGGAAUGGCAGGAGAUAGUUAGAAAGAUUUGGAAACAGGGUCGGCUAAUCACUGACAGUGCUAAAUUAAUCUCGACCAUUUGGAAUGGUGCGAAGUAAUUAAAAACAAUUGAAUUCGGAUCCAGUGAAAAGCCAUGGAAAAUAAGAAAUAGUAAAACGUUAACGUAAUUAUUAUAUUGUUAUAAGAAUAUUAAUACUGUGUAUAGAUUAAAUUGGUUGUGAAUAUAGUACUGAUCAGUGUGAUAAAUAUAUUAAUUGUGAUAAGUGAAUUAAGAUGGGUAAUCACUUAGAUAACACCAAGAGUUCUAGCAGCCCAUUGCAGAUUUUAUGUGACAAAUAUCCUGAAAGUUCUCAGCAAUUCGGAGAAUUAUCAGGGGCAUUAAAUCAGAACUUGGGUAACAAACAAUGGCCUCUGGGGGGGUCCUAGAAAUCCAGAUCUGGUAAAAACAAGCCCAAGAAUUAAUAUGGAAAAGAAAUGCAAAU